rnacentral:misc_RNA from 1 species
CGCGAGCACAGUCAUUCGAAUCCAGUAUUAGUGCGGUGUAGAGUGUUCGGUGUUUUGUAAUCCACUUACUCGAAUUUUCCUCUCUCUCUCUCUCUCUCACUCCAUCUCUCCAUCUCUCCGUCUUUCUCUUUUUUUCUCGCGCGACUACGAUCGAUUAGUGUAUAAAAAUGCCUUUCAAGCCCGUGGAACAUCCAAAAUGCCCUAAAUGCGGCAAGUCCGUCUAUGCUGCGGAAGAGCGAGUUGCCGGUGGACUGAAAUGGCACAAAAUGUGCUUCAAGUGCGGUCUUUGCAGCAAACUGCUCGACUCGACAAACUGCUCCGAGCACGAGGGCGAGCUGUUCUGCAAAGUCUGCCACGCCCGCAAGUUCGGCCCUAAGGGCUACGGCUUCGGCGGCGGAGCUGGCUGCCUGUCCAUGGAUCAAGGCGAGCAUCUUCAAGCGAAGAGCGAGGGCGAACUUUCGCGGGGUUCGAACGCCAUCCUCGAACCGCGGGCCAUCGCUAAGGCACCCGAGGGAGAGGGAUGUCCUCGCUGCGGAGGGUACGUUUAUGCCGCCGAGCAGAUGUUGGCCCGAGGAAGGGCUUACCAUAAACAGUGCUUCAAAUGCAAAAUGUGUCACCGGAGUCUGGAUUCGACGCUUCAUUGCGAUGGUCCCGACCGCGAGAUAUACUGUCGAGCAAUGGCACAGGGAAUGCUUUAAGUGUGCCAACUGCUCCAAAAGAUUAGAUUCCGUCAACUGCUGUGAAGGUCCUGAUAAGGACAUCUAUUGCAAAGUAUGCUACGGAAAGAGGUUCGGACCGAAGGGUUAUGGCUACGGCCAGGGUGGCGGC